AUCUGAGGAUCACAGGGCGGUUAACAAUAUAAAAACACAAAAUAGAUAACAGUACCAAUUUUUUAAAAAAAUGCCCCCCUCCAUAAUUUAAAAGGCCAUAGAUUGGCUAAGGCCUGGGAGAAGAGGAAUGUUUUUGCCUAGUGCCUAAAGAUAUGUGACGAAGACACCAGCUCAGUGACCCUGGGGAAGAGUAUUCCACAAGCCGGGAGCCACUGCAGGAAAGGCCCUGCUCUCGUGUUGCCACCCCCAGACCUCUUGUGGAGGAGGCACACAAAGAAGGGCCUCAGAGAAUGAUCUCAGGGUCCGGAUAGGUUCAUAUGGAGAGAGGCGAUCCUUGAGGUAUGGCAGGUUUGAGCCUUUUAAGGCUUUAUAGGUCAUGCUUCUUGGAGAAUCUGCAUACUGACUGGAGAAUGUGUUUAUAACCCAGUGAAUGCACAAAAUGCAUUUGAGAUAUUCACUUUCCCCAAAGCCUGUUAGAGAUUAUGCAUGAUGGCUGAAGAACGUAUAAAAAUCCAGUUGAUUAUAUGCACAUUUCCCAAGGCCUGUUGGAGAUUAUGUAUGAUCGACCAGGAAAUAUGCAGAGCUCCCCCUUUAUGGCUGGAUUAUGUGCACAUUCUCCAUGAGUUCUGGUGAAUGUACACCCGCCCCCCGUCCCGGAUAAUGUGAAUUGACAAUAGGCCUUUCUAAAGAGCUUAUCUGAGAAACCUCAUCCAAGAAGUUGGAAAACUCUUGUCUGUAAAUAAUCUGUAUCUGCAAGUGCUUUUCUUUGUAGCUCAACCUUCUUAGCACGUUUGCAAGCUCUGGGCGCUGAUGACGUUUUAAGUGUAUAAAUAUGUGAUGCUAUAAAGCACUGUAUACAUUGGUGGGAUAAUAAUAACAGAACAUGUAGCAUUUUAUAUCUACAAAACAGAUUUAAACUGGUUUGAUAGUGAUUCCUUCUCACCACCAGAUAAAUUGGGAACUGGAAUUCUUUAGAGCGAAUUCUCAACGCUGUACACAAGCUGCAGUUCCCAGUUCUUUUGGGGAAGCCGUGACGGUUAAACUGGUAUAAAACCAAUACAUUUUUACAGUACAGAAAUGUCAUUUGUGUUUCCUGUUGGAGUGAUCUUGUCUCCGCUUUUAAGAAAAACACAAAAACAUGUGGAUCAUAUUGCUAUGCAGUCAAGUCAUUCCACAAGCUGGCUAAUGAGGCUAGCUUUAAAUGAGCAAGCUGUGUUUUAUUUUCUAAAGCUUCUUAGGAUCUUAAACAUGGAAGCUGCUUGCUUGACUACUUUCAAGGCGGCAAAUUUGGAAAAACUGUACCUCAUUUGUUCUCAGUAUUACAUUGUUAACGGUAUGUUCCCAACUGUUUUUUUGAAAAGAUAGGAUGGGGACGCGGGUGGCGAUGUGGGUUAAACCACAGAGCCUAGGACUUGCCGAUCAGAAGGUCGGCGGUUCGAAUCCCCGCAAUGGGGUGAGCUCUCGUUGCUCGGUCCCUGCUCCUGCCAACCUAGCAGUUCAAAAGCACAUCAAAGUGCAAGUAGAUAAAAAGGUACCGCUCCGGCGGGAAGGUAAACGGUGUUUCUGUGUGCUGCUCUGGUUCGCCAGAAGUCAUGCUGGCCACAUGACCUGGAAGCUGCACGCCGGCUCCCUCGGCCAAUAAAGUGAGAUGAGCGCCGCAACCCCAGAGUCGGUCACGACUGGACCUAAUGGUCAGGGGUCCCUUUACCUUUACCUUAUCGUGGUGCAGCCAAGUCAUAAACCCAGCUUUCUUAAGAUAAUUGCUGCAAAUACUGCCCAGCCUCCUGAUUGGCCGCUCUUGGUAGAAUUUAAACAAAUAUAGCUUGGGUUAGCUGACCGGAAAGCUCACAUCACCACGCAAUAUGUCCCUUGUUCUACAUUUCUGCUACUUUAUUUUGUCUUAGGGUAAUAGUCUCCGUUAACAAACUCAUUUUUUAUUGCAAAUUUUAAACGAUCUACGAAUUUGCGGUAGCAUUUGGUUUUAUAAAGUAACUUUGAUCUCUGUGUCAGUGUUUAUAGGCUUUUCCCACCAGGAACUAUUGUUUUGCUAUAAUGUGCAUUCCUGCAGACGUGACAGGGAAAUUUGAAUAAUGCAUGUCAAGGUUUGUUUAUUAGGCAUAUUGCAAGAUGGUACCCAGAGUGCCAGUGUGGUUGAUAUUUAUGCUGGUUGAGUGGAAUUGCUUUACCAAAAGAAAGGGUUGCACUAGUUGCAUGUCACCGCACUUGACCUGUUCAACAUGUGAUCAACUCUUUAAUCAACAACUUGCACUCAUAAGCAGUGCUUUUUUUCUGGGGGGCGGGAAAUAUUUAGGGGUACUCUCAUUUUCCUACUCACAUUGAAAUACUGCCUCUCAGUGAGGCCAAACCUAGAUUCACAAAAUGUUUAGGGGUGUGCGUACCCAUGCGUUCCCUCAGAAAAAAGACCUACACUGGCUCCCGGUAUGUUUCCGAGCACAAUUCAAAGUGUUGGUGCUGACCUUUAAAGCCCUAAACGGCCUCGGUCCAGUAUACCUGAAGGAGCGUCUCCACCCCCAUCGUUCUGCUCUGAGGUCCAGCGCCGAGGGCCUUCUGGUGGUUCCCUCGUUGCGAGAAGCCAAGUUGCAGCGAACUAGGCAGAGGGCCUUCUCGGUGGUGGCACCCACCCCGUGGAACGCCCUCCCACCAGAUGUCAAAGAGAAAAAUAACUACCAAACUUUUAGAAGACAUCUGAAGGCGGCCCUGUUUAGGGAAGCUUUUAAUGUUUGAAGGAUUAUUGUAUUUUAAUAUUCUGUUGGAAGCCGCCCAGAGUGGCUGGGGAAACCCAGUCAGAUGGGCGGGGUAUAAAUAAUAAAUUAUUAUUAUUAUUACUGCUCAUAAGUAUCAGCAGCCUGUGUUUUGGAAGAAAGUGGACUUUGGUCAAAUCACUCUCUUUCAACCUAGCCUGCAUUGUCACAAGUGUGGCAAUGUGAAGGUAAGACGAACCCUGCUCAAUGGGUUUAAGCUAAAUGUGAACACAGAACAGCAGCCUAAACCAGCGAUUGUGCAUCAAGGCCCUACCUCUCCACCCACCCUUUCAAGCAACUAGGAUAGGAAAAUAACAAUUAUGCUGGAUAUCCCAUUAUGUGGGAGUCUAGAGAAUGGGUUGAAGUAAGAGCAAGAACCCGAGUUCAUGACGAAGGUUCAGGAUCAUAUUUUAGGAGCUGAAAUAGAAGGGGGCACCAUUGCCCCUGAAUCACUAAAUAUCCCAAGUUAGCAGUGGGCAAGAACAGGUAGGAAAAAUUCGUGGAGUCUGUAUGGAAACUACACCAGUGGAAACUAGAAUGAGAAAAAAUGGGAGCUAAAUAAUGUUUGGGGUGGAUAAAGAGCUGCUGUAGUAGGACUAGGAAGACUGAUACCACAAAAACCCCGUUCAUAUCCCACCUCUGACAUGAACUCACUAGAUUAUUUGAGGCAAACCACUCAGCUUCCAUCCGCAAUAUGGGGCAAUAAUACUGAACUACUUUGCAGGGUUGUAAGGAUUGUAACCAGGUGGCGCUAUGGGUUAAACCACAGAGCCUAGGACUUGCCGAUCAGAAGAUCGGCAGUUGGAACCCCCACGACGGGGUGAGCUCCCGCUGCUCGGUCCCUGCUCCUGCCAACCUAACAGUUCGAAAGCACAUCAGGUGCAAGUAGAUAAAUAGGUACCACUCUGGUGGGAAGGUAAACUGCGUUUCCGUGCGCUGCUCUGGUUUCGCCAGAAGCGGCUUAGUCAUGCUGGCCACAUGACCCGGAAGCUGUACACCGGCUCCCUUGGCCAAUAAAGCGAGAUGAGCGCUGCAACCCCAGAGUUGGCUACGACUGGACCUAAUGGUCAGGGGUCCCUUUACCUUUAAGAACAAAUAAAGGCAAAUGCUAAGUACUAGCAUGUUUAUUGGAAGUUCUUCCUACCUUCUAGGACAGGCUUCCUCAAACUUGGCCCUCCAGAUGUUUUUGGCCUAGCUAGCAGGACCAGUGGUCAGGGAUGAUGGGAAUUGUAGUCUCAAAACAUCUGGAGGGCCGAGGUUGAGGAAGCGUGUUCUAGGAAGUCAUAUCUUCAGUCCUGGCCCCUUUAACUGACAUGAGCUAUUGCCUCUUAUUUUGAAAAGCAUUUCUCACUGGUCUGUUAAAAUGGGUGUAUAUUUUUAAAUGUAAUCUCCUAUCACAGAGACCUUUUUAUACUGAAUUUUGUUUCGAGGUGGUGGUUGUUGUUUUUUAAAAUUCCUGAUGGCAACAUGCUUUUUACAUGUGCUGGAUGUUUGUUUUUGAUGCUGCCGUUACAGCUAAUAAAAAUCAAUACUAUUUGUGCCAGAAAUAACUUUGCCUUCCUUGUGGAGUGGGAGGAAACUUCCUUUGCCAGGUGAAACGUCUGUCAUGAUUUAAGGUGAAACCUUCAGUAUAUAUGUAAUAAAUUCUGUUUAACUCCUUUGUGGAUUGUAAGAUGUGCUUAUUCUACAACUGAACCCGCUCCAAGGUGACAUGAAGUAGCAUCAUCUUUAUACAAAUAUAUACCUCUCCCCUCAAAAGUGUUACCACAAAAAUACCAUUUUGACUUCAACGCUUGCUUAAUAACCUGUAAUUUCUGAGCGCUGUGGCUUUGCAAUGUUCAGACAUGUACAUCACAUUCUUGUAAAUAAAAGCCUUAAUC
rnacentral:lncRNA from 1 species